rnacentral:misc_RNA from 1 species
GUAGGUGAACCUGCGGAAGGAUCAUUACCGAGUUAGGGUUCGUCCAACGAGCCCGACCUCCCAACCCUUUGUCUAUUUUACCUUGUCGUUGCUUCGGCGGACCGGUCGCGACUAACUGGUCGUGGCCGCCGGGGGUCCACCUCCUGGAGAGCGUCCGCCGAUGGCCCAACCACAAACUCUUAUAUCAAACCGUGUCGUCUGAAUUACUUGAUUAAAAUCAAAAAACAAAACUUUCAACAACGGAUCUCUUGGUUCUG